rnacentral:rRNA from 1 species
UACGUAGGGAGCAAGCGUUGUCCGGAUUUAUUGGGCGUAAAGAGCUCGUAGGCGGUUAAGUAAGUCAGGUGUGAAACCUCCAGGCUCAACCUGGAGACGCCACUUGAUACUGCUUUGACUUGAGUUCGGUAGGGGUAAGCGGAAUUCCUGGUGUAGCGGUGAAAUGCGCAGAUAUCAGGAAGAACACCGGUGGCGAAAGCGCUCUGCUAGGCCGCAACUGACACUGAGGGACGAAAGCUAGGGGAGCGAAUGGG